rnacentral:rRNA from 1 species
AUUGAACGCUGGCGGCAGGCCUAACACAUGCAAGUCGAGCGGAUGAAUGGAGCUUGCUCCUGGAUUCAGCGGCGGACGGGUGUGUAAUGCCUAGGAAUCUGCCUGGUAGGGGGGGAUAACGUCCGGAAACGGGCGCUAAUACCGCAUACGUCCUGAGGGAGAAAGUGGGUGAUCUUCGGACCUCACGCUAUCAGAUGAGCCUAGGUCGGAUUAGCUAGUUGGUGGGGUAAAGGCCUACCAAGGCGACGAUCCGUAACUGGUCUGAGAGGAUGAUCAGGCACACUGGAACUGAGACACGGUCCAGACUACUAAGGGAGGCAGCAGUGGGGAAUAUUGGACAAUGGGCGAAAGCCUGAUCCAGCCAUGCCGCGUGUGUGAAGAAGGUCUUCGGAUUGUAAAGCACUUUAAGUUGGGAGGAAGGGCAGUAAGUUCAUACCUUGCUGUUUUGACGGUACCAACAGAAUAAGCACCGGCUAACUUCGUG